UACACACACACACACACACACACACACAUCAUCAUCCAUCAUCAUCAUCAUCAUCAUCAUCAUCAUCAUCAUCAAUACACAAAUAUCUGAUCAAUCAUGUAGAACCAGUUUAUCCAUCAGGUCAAUCAGCUGAUCUGACAGUCACCAUCCUGAAACCUGCUCCUGCAUCACAAACAGCUGAACAUUUGAACCAGGUCUCACAGGCUUCAGGUCUCUCAGGCUUCAGGUCUCACAGGCUUCAGGUCUCACAGGCUUCAGGUCUCACAGGCUUCAGGUCUCACAGAAUUCAGGAUCAGACAGCUG